rnacentral:lncRNA from 1 species
AGUCCGGCUGCUCGCGGGCGCGCGAGUUCGACCGACGCGUUAGAAGGAGGUGCCUUGCGAAGCCGGGCUGCGACCUUAGGGGUCGCCGUGCUCUGGCGUGUGACUCGAAAGUCAGCCUGCAGGCGGGGUCCAAGGUUAGGGCGCGGUAGACUUGACCCGCUUUCCUCAAACUCUGUUAAUGCCAGAACCCGGAUAAUCUCAACUUGGUAAAGAUGGCAGGAAGCCUAGCAAAAAGCUGGAGGACGUCGGGAAGAGAAUAGAUGAGAACAGUCCCCUCGGGGACGGGGAAGGCAAAAACACGAGUGUCCCCCCCUCUCACCCCGAGUUUUAGUAUUUCUCAUUAUAAAAGUAAUAUUAAAAGUAUAUAGACAGAAAAUAUAGAAAGGAAGGAGGAAAUGACUCAUCCUACCGCCCGCACACAACUAGCGUCACGGUUUUGCGCGACAGUAUUGCCUCCUGACUUUUUAAUUGCAUUUUUAUAUUCGUGUUAUCAUUUUGACGCACAAUUUUAAGACAUUUUUAUUGUAGAAAAUUUCAAGAUACACAGAAGUGGAAUAACCCGAUGAAGCCGCGUAGAGUCGCUCUCCGACCUCAGCAGUUACGCGACUCAUGGGGCAAUCUUGUUUCCUCUAUUUCUGCACCUACCUCGCACGCGCUGCCCAGCGUUAUUCUGAAGUAAAUACCAUCACGUGUUUUCACCAGUAAAUAUUUCAGUAUGUGUCUUUAAAGGACAAGCAUUCCCUUUUUAAUACGUAUACAUUAUGCUUCACACACACACAAAACUGUCACUCCGACCCCCCAAAAAAACUUUUAAUAUCAAAUAUGAA